CAAAAGAGGGUUCUUUUUGUACUAGAUUCAUCUAAUAAACCACACAUUCUGGAAGCAGAAUAUGGAAUCUGUCAUCAGAUUAUGAAACAACAGACAAAUGGUUGUUUUAAAAAUGCGGUGCCUACAUACGCUUUCCGAAAGACAUUCAAGAACCAAGAUUUGGCAAGUUACAGCUCACUAACUCUUUUGUAUUGGAGUCCCCACUGCCAAAAUAAAAAUCUCGGGAUCCAACCUAAGUGACAUUAGGUGCUGUUUGUCAAGAUGCAUCUUACAUAUUUGCUUGCUAAGACAUAUAUGGGGAAACUACCUAAUCAAGCUGGACCCAAGCAGAGCAAUAUCACAUUUCCAGCUUUGAAAAACAAAACAAAACAAAAAAGCUUUUUUGUGGAAAUUACCUUGCUUCUCAGUUCUAGGAGAAAGGCAGAUUGAGCAAAUGGACAAAUAAAUAAUCACUCCAUUGUGUAUAUGUUUGGAGUUCUGUUUCAAUGGUAUUUUAUCAUACAUGUGAGUAGUCUUCCCUUGAUAUUGUCCAUUUUUCAUAUGUUUCUGUAAUAUCUCCUUCAUGCAGAAUUCCUUAAGUAUGAUAUACACUUGGCAACAUGGCUACAGCUUUUUGUUAUAUACAUGACAACAUGCAUUUUCAGAAGGAUUCACAAGCUUUGAUCCUACAGUUGAUUGUAUGAUGACAGUAUGAGAUUGAUUGAGUGAAGGAACUAACAGAGAAGCACACACAAUAUACUUCUGCAUCCUUAACAAGGAGUUGGUAACAUGUAUUUUGUGGAUUGCAAAUGGCCCGUUGGUUGCAAAUCACAACUGGGGCCCCAAGUGUGAUAUUUAAGCCCCACAGAUCCAUCAGAAGUUUUUUUUAAAGCUUCAAGCUUUUUUUUUUUUUACCCUCCCAGUGUUCAGGAUAGGUCAUAAACACUGCAGAGUACAGCAGCUUUACCCCAACAACCCCCAAAACUGUGAUAUACUUUCCAAAUAUCUUUUUAAAAACAGUAAAAUUCUAUCAAAAAUCAUAAAAAAAUGAAACCAGAAGGGCUGUGAUUUUUUCCCCCACAUUGGGCAAAUUGGUGUGGCUUCCCUGAAGAGUACAGGGGUUGAAAAAAAUGUCCCUUGCCCCCUCUGUA